rnacentral:rRNA from 1 species
UACGUAGGGGCGAGCGUUGUCCGGAAUUAUUGGGCGUAAAGGGUUCGCAGGCGGUCUGAUAAGUCAGAUGUGAAAGGCAAUGGCUCAACCAUUGUAAGCAUUUGAAACUGUCAGACUUGAGUUAAGGAGAGGAAAGUGGAAUUCCUAGUGUAGCGGUGAAAUGCGUAGAUAUUAGGAGGAAUACCAGUGGCGAAGGCGACUUUCUGGACUUAUACUGACGCUGAGGAACGAAAGCGUGGGGAGCAAACAGGAUUAGAUACCCUGGUAGU